GAGAGGGAAAGGCAGGCGGCCCGCUUCCCGCCAGCAACUGUCUCCUAUCUCGCCACUCUGCCGCACAAGGAAGAUACUGGAAGACUCAGAACAAGUUCCCUGGGUGCUGUCCCCUUGGGGCGGUGCUGCCCUCUGACUGAGAUGGUCCCUCCAGACGUGUGCCUGAUGUGCAGGAUGAAGAGGGGCUGCCGGCUAAGGGGCAUGGAGAAGGUGCACGGACCCCUGCCAGGCUUCCCGGGUUGGUGGCUGGAGUGCAGCUUGCAAGGUGGACGAGCCCCUGGGCACAGGCAGGGGCGGGGUCAGAGGUCCGGGCUGCCACACGGGGACUCGGGUGUGCUUGGGCAACAAGGCGGUGGGGGAAACCUGCGUCCAGACUGCAUAGUCCCUGUGGGCUCAUGUACCCAGGCUGCAUCCCGAAGAUGGGGUGCACUGAACACUGCAGAACGGAAGCAGUUUGAUCCGUUCAGAAAGAAUUCAGAAGUGGCCCUUCCAUGUCAUCCUUGACACAGCUGGGCUGUGCUUGCCCACCCAUCUGGAGCACACAGCACGCUCCCCGGCACGAGCGCGUGACAACUCCUCGGUCAGAAUCUCACCUGCCUCCGCGUCCUACGGAGCCACUCGUGUCGUGAUCCAAGUUCACGCCAGCUGGAUGACACUGGUAAAAUAUAAAACCUCCACGGUCAGUGUUUUCUAUCCUUCAGGCUGCUUUGGGUUAAGUUCCUGAAUUUCAGCUUUUCCACAUGCAUAUGUUCACGGCC
ensembl:lncRNA